GCCGGGCGUGGCGGCCUGUGCCUGUAAUCCCAGGUACUCAGGAGGCUGAGGCAGGAGAAUUGCUUGAACCCGGGAGGCAGAGGUUGCAGUGAGCCGAGAUUGUGCCACUGCACUCCAGCCUGGGUGACAGAGCGAGACUCAGUCUCUA
rnacentral:SRP_RNA from 1 species